AACCAGCUCGAUCCGGUUGCACCCGAAAACGAAACAACUCAUCCUCCUCGUGUUUCCGGCCACCAAUUCCCCCCAAACUUCAUCCUCGAGCUCGCCUCAACGUCCUGAAGCUCCCAGAAGUAACCUUGCGCGGCGGCACGGCCGGCAGCGACGGCGGCGACCCCGAGUCCGGUUUAGCUCGUUUUCGUUCCAAACUCGAUAUCUCGAGCUACAGAGCACCAUUUCACUUGAUUCUUGGCUCAUUGAGCUCGCCUCAUCUUCCUAUACAAGCACCAAGAAGGAUCGGAACUGGAUCGAACGUUUUCACGUUCGUCGGAGCUCGACCCGUGCGGAUCGAACAACCAACCUUCGGAUCAAGAUAUCUCGAGCUAUACACGAUCGUUUCUUGUGAUUCUUGGCUUGUUGAGUUCAUAAGGAAGUUCUGAACAAUUCUCCAGAAGGGAUCGAGGCGUGAGGUUGUAGUUUUCACGUCGAUUUUGGAGCUCGCCGGUUUCUGGAAAAAUUCCGGCCACCGACUGAUUUUUGGUGAUCGACGGUUGGAUUUGGCGGACGAUUCGUGAAAUUGUAUUUUGAGCUGUUAAGAAGACGCAGCGGGAAUUUAGAGCGGGAAAUCCUACAGGUCAGGAGAACCAGGACGGUGAUCGGGCUGCUUAGAGUAGUGUUAUGUGAAUUACAGCAUUAUAUUGUGAGGUGUGUUAUGCUCAUUUAGAGCUUUGCAAUUUUACUUUGUAAGAGUGAAUUGUAAUAAUUAACUCGAGGUUUUCGAGUUUUUGUGUUGAGUGGCGAGUGGUGUGUUUGUUUGUGAGAAAAAAAUUCAGAACGUUAUUUGUAUUAAUUGUUUAUUCAUGUUUCGGAUUUGAA